CUUUCCCCUAACAACUAUUAAGUAGGUUUUCUAUUAUUCCCAUUAUGCAGAUGAGGAAAUCAAAGCUACUUAGCAGAAAAGCAAACUUAAUUUCUGGUCUGCUAAACCCCUAAAGCCUACGUUAAUUAUGCAUGGUCAGGGGCGCCUGGGUGGCUCAGUGGGUUAAGCCGCUGCCUUCGGCUCAGGUC